rnacentral:rRNA from 1 species
AUUGAACGCUGGCGGCAGGCCUAACACAUGCAAGUCGAACGAGUGGCGGACGGGUGAGUAAUGUCUGGGAAACUGCCUGAUGGAGGGGGAUCACUACUGGAAACGGUAGCUAAUACCGCAUACCAUCGGAUGUGCCCAGAUGGGAUUAGCUAGUAGGUGGGGUAACGGCUCACCUAGGAGACGAUCCCUAGCUGGUCGGAGAGGAUGAGCAGCCACACGGGAACUGAGAAACGGUCCAGACUCCUACGGGGGGCAGAAGUGGGGAAUAUUGCACAAUGGGCGCAAGCCGGAUGCAGCCAUGCCGCGUGUAUGAAGAAGGCCUUCGGGUUGUAAAGUACUUUCAGCGGGGAGGCGUUACCCGCAGAAGAAGCACCGGCUAACUCCGUGCCAGCAGCCGCGGUAAUUC